GCGAUCAUAGUUCAAUGGUAGAACACUGGUCUGUGGCACCAGGUACCUGGGUCCGAUUCCCAGUGAUCGCC
rnacentral:tRNA from 1 species